GGCAUAUAUGAGUUUGUUUUGAGGUAUAUAUGAGGUAUAUUUGAGUUUGCUGAGAAAACCAUAAAAAUUAUACCUCGUAAAGGUUGUAAUUGAGAUGUACGAGGUUGUUUUGCAUACACUUCAGCUCAUUUUGAGGUCGUUUAAUAUUCACUUCAAAUCAGCUAGGCCGAUGAGGUGAUUUUCAAGAUAUACGGGUCGUUUUUCCUGAUGCCUAUACUUAUAACAAAAAAGAUAUUUAUGAGGCAUAAAAAUUUACCUUAUUUCAACGAGAGUGAGGUAUUUACGAGGUAUAAAAAUAUACCUUAUUUCAGCCAGGAGAAAGUGAGGUAUUUAGUGAGGUAUUUAGUGAGGUAUUUAUUGAGAUUUAUUGAGGUCACACACAUUUUAUAUAUACCUAAGCUCAUUUUGAGGUUCUUUUAAGUUCACUUUAUAUCAACCAAACUGAUGAGGCGAAUUCUAAGGUAUACAAGGUUGUUUUUCUGACACUUAUAACAAAAGAGGUAUGAGGUAUAAAAAUUUCACGUUAUUUUAACUAAAGAUAGUCAGGUAUUUAUUAAGGUGUAUGAAGUCACACACACAUCUUAUUUAUACCUGAGCUUAUUUUGAGGUUGUUUAAAGUACACUUCAUAUUAACUAGCUCACUUCCCAGAGUUCCGUGCUGGCCGACGAAUGGCGUGUGUGUUGGCAAUCGAAAGUCUAUGCGAAAUUCGGUUCCAAAACUUCCAAGUUUCAACAGGUAGACGGAAUCCAUAUUUAAAAUAAUUUUAUUGGUUUGUAAAAAAACUGAAAUUUUUGUUUUAAAUAAAAGUAAUUUGAAUUGCA